UACGGAGGGUGCAAGCGUUAUCCGGAUUCACUGGGCUUAAAGGGUGCGUAGGUGGGCAGGUAAGUCAGUGGUGAAAUCUCUGGGCUUAACCCAGAAACUGCCGUUGAUACUAUCUGUCUUGAAUAUAGUGGAGGUGGGCGGAAUAUGUCAUGUAGCGGUGAAAUGCUUAGAUAUGACAUAGAACACCCAUUGCGAAGGCAGCUCGCUACACUAUUAUUGACACUGAGGCACGAAAGCGUGGGGAUCAAACAGG
rnacentral:rRNA from 1 species